rnacentral:rRNA from 1 species
UACGGAGGGGGCUAGCGUUGUUCGGAAUUACUGGGCGUAAAGCGCGCGUAGGCGGCUUUGUAAGUUAGAGGUGAAAGCCCGGAGCUCACUCCGGAAUUGCCUUUAAGACUGCAUCGCUAGAAUCAUGGAGAGGUGAGUGGAAUUCCGAGUGUAGAGGUGAAAUUCGUAGAUAUUCGCAAGAACACCAGUGGCGAAGGCGCUCACUGGCCCGGUACUGACGCUGAGGUGCGAAAGCGUGGGAGCAAACAG